AAUAGAUACCCAGGUAGUCCACGCCCUAAACGAUGUCGACUGGUUGUUGGUGGGGUUAAACCCAUUAGUAACGAAGCUAACGCGUGAAGUCGACCGCCUGGGGAGUACGGCCGCAAGGUUAAAACUCAAAGGAAUUGACGGGGACCCGCACAAGCGGUGGAUGAUGUGGAUUAAUUCGAUGCAACGCGAAGAACCUUACCUACCCUUGACAUGCCAGGAACCCUGCUGAGAGGUGGGGGUGCCCGAAAGGGAACCUGGACACAGGUGCUGCAUGGCUGUCGUCAGCUCGUGUCGUGAGAUGUUGGGUUAAGUCCCGCAACGAGCGCAACCCUUGUCACUAGUUGCUACGGUAACGGGCACUCUAAUGAGACUGCCGGUGACAAACCGGAGGAAGGUGGGGAUGACGUCAAGUCCUCAUGGCCCUUAUAGGUGGGGCUACACACGUCAUACAAUGGCCGGUACAAAGGGCUGCCAACCCGCGAGGGGGAGCCAAUCCCAUAAAACCGGUCGUAGUCCGGAUCGCAGUCUGCAACUCGACUGCGUGAAGUCGGAAUCG
rnacentral:rRNA from 1 species